rnacentral:rRNA from 1 species
CCAUGGGCAGGUUGAAGGUUGGGUAACACUAACUGGAGGACCGAACCGACUAAUGUUGAAAAAUUAGCGGAUGACCUGUGGCUGGGGGUGAAAGGCCAAUCAAACCGGGAGAUAGCUGGUUCUCCCCGAAAGCUAUUUAGGUAGCGCCUCGUGAACUCAUCUCCGGGGGUAGAGCACUGUUUCGGCUAGGGGGCCAUCCCGGCUUACCAACCCGAUGCAAACUGCGAAUACCGGAGAAUGUUAUCACGGGAGACACACGGCGGGUGCUAACGUCCGUCGUGAAGAGGGAAACAACCCAGACCGCCAGCUAAGGUCCCAAAGUCAUGGUUAAGUGGGAAACGAUGUGGGAAGGCCCAGACAGCCAGGAUGUUGGCUUAGAAGCAGCCAUCAUUUAAAGAAAGCGUAAUAGCUCACUGGUCGAGUCGGCCUGCGCGGAAGAUGUAACGGGGCUAAACCAUGCACCGAAGCUGCGGCAGCGACACUAUGUGUUGUUGGGUAGGGGAGCGUUCUGUAAGCCUGCGAAGGUGUGCUGUGAGGCAUGCUGGAGGUAUCAGAAGUGCGAAUGCUGACAUAAGUAACGAUAAAGCGGGUGAAAAGCCCGCUCGCCGGAAGACCAAGGGUUCCUGUCCAACGUUAAUCGGGGCAGGGUGAGUCGACCCCUAAGGCGAGGCCGAAAGGCGUAGUCGAUGGGAAACAGGUUAAUAUUCCUGUACUUGGUGUUACUGCGAAGGGGGGACGGAGAAGGCUAUGUCGGCCGGGCGACGGUUGUCCCGGUUUAAGCGUGUAGGCUG